UACGUAGGGGGCGAGCGUUGUCCGAAGUUACUGGGCGUAAAGCGCGCGUAGGCGGGGGAUUAAGUGAGAGGUGAAAGGCUGGGGCUCAACCUCAUGCAGUGCCUCUCAUACUGGUUCUCUUGAGGGCGGUAGGGAGAAGUGGAAUGGCUGGUGUAGCGGUGAAAUGCGUAGAUAUCAGUCGGAACACCGGUGGCGAAGGCGGCUUCUUGGGCCGUUCCUGACGCUGAGACGCGAAAGCGUGGGGAGCAAACAGG
rnacentral:rRNA from 1 species